AAGGAUUGAGUGCCUCCGGGGAGCCCGGUGGACAGGUGCUGCAUGGCUGUCGUCGGCUCGUGUCGUGAGAUGUUGGGUUAAGUCCCGCAACGAGCGCAACCCUUAUCUUUAGUUACCAUCAUUAAGUUGGGGACUCUAAAGAUACUGCCCCGGUUAACGGGGAGGAAGGUGGGGAUGACGUCAAGUCCUCAUGGCCUUUAUGUCCAGGGCUACACACGUGCUACAAUGGGUUGUACAAAGGGUUGCGAACUCGCGAGAGUAAGCCAAUCCCAAAAAGCAACUCUUAGUUCGGAUUGGAGUCUGCAACUCGACUCCAUGAAGCUGGAAUCGCUAGUAAUCGUGGAUCAGCAUGCCACGGUGAAUACGUUCCCGGGCCUU
rnacentral:rRNA from 1 species